AUUGAACGCUGGCGGCAGGCCUAACACAUGCAAGUAGAACGAGUGGCGGACGGGUGAGUAGUGGCUGGGACACUGCCUGAUGGAGGGGGAUAACUACUGGAAACGGUAGCUAAUACCGCAUACCAUCAGAUGGGCCCAAAUGGGAUUAGCUUGUUGGUGGGGUAACGGCUCACCAAGGCGAAGGUCCCUAGCUGGUCUGAGAGGAUGACCAGCCACACUGGAACUGAGACACGGUCCAGACUCCUACGGGAGGCAGCAGUGGGGAAUAUUGCACAAUGGGCGCAAGCCUGAUGCAGCCAUGCCGCGUGUAUGAAGAAGGCCUUCGGGUUGUAAAGUACUUUCAGCGGGGAGGCGUUACCCGCAGAAGAAGCGCCGGCUAACUCCGUGCCAGCAGCCGCGGUAAUUC
rnacentral:rRNA from 1 species